UACGUAGGGCGCAAGCGUUGUCCGGAAUUAUUGGGCGUAAAGAGCUCGUAGGCGGCCUGUCACGUCUGCUGUGAAAUCCCGGGGCUCAACCCCGGGCCUGCAGUGGAUACGGGCUGGCUGGAGGCAGGCAGGGGAGAACGGAAUUCCUGGUGUAGCGGUGAAAUGCGCAGAUAUCGUAAGGAAGACCAGUGGCGAAGGCGGGUCUCUGGACAGUUCCUGACGCUGAGGCACGAAGGUCAGGGGAGCAAACGGGG
rnacentral:rRNA from 1 species